rnacentral:tRNA from 1 species
UGUUCUGUGGCUUAGUUGGUUAAAGCGCCGGUCUAGAGAAUACUAAGUCGUGGGUUCAAAUCCCAUCAGAACCC